UCUAUGAUGCCGAAAAAGAACCAGCAUGUCCUGCAGUAACUGAGUGGGUAACACGCCGUGCCACAGACCACCACAAGUAAAUUCUCAACCUGUGGGAAACACUGAAGACCUGGUUUGUAAAAAGGAAAACAUCUAUUUGGAGAUGGAAAUCCCCGAUGUUGCAGUUAAGAUACUGUGAAUGACAGCGGGUUGGUUCGUGCUGCUGCCUGGGGACGGGUCACUGUUGUGUAGCACCAGAGGAAAUGCGGUGGCAGGAAGGGGAGGAAGUGAUUAAUUAGACGACAUGAUCCACCCGUGCUUUCCUGUCACUGCUGGUACUGCUCACCUGUUGUCCGCUGCGGUGUGGCGUGCUGCUCACCUUCUCUUUGUUGAAGAUGUCCAUGAUGUACUCGGAGAAACAGACGAUCCUUUAGAAGAUGCGUACCUUGAUGUUCCCCUAAUAUUUUAACCCCCUUGGUUGUGGAACGAGGUAUGUAGAUUUGAAUUGUUGUGAUUAUUAAUCCGGUGGUUGUUUAAUUUGAGUGAUGUUUCUGAGCGAUGGUGCUGCUGUAAUUAUUCGUGCGAAUUUUUAAUUAUCACCUUUUGUCUAAUGAAUGUAUUUUUCUUUUUUUUUAUUAAUUUAGUUAAUUGCACCUUUAUAGUAUUUGGUAAUUUGUGCUGCGAAGUUUCUUUUGAUUGUGAUCAACAUUGUAAAUGUAUUAAUGAAUUUUUGCUUGUGUAUUUUGACUAAUGUUCCUUAUUUUUUCUUUUGUAUUUCUUAUUUGUAGUUUUCACGGUGCUCGACGUGAAUAAAAUAUACGCACCUGUAUGAAACUCUCCGCCUCAGUUACUGGUACCAAGGGCCAGCUACAGUGAAAACUCUACCAUCACGUCUGGACCAUCUCACAUUGUCGUCUGAUGUCGGCAGCCGGCACCGCCGCACGCAAACGGGACUAAUUGCCCUCUACUGGUGGAAGGUGUUUAACCUUUGGAGGUACAGCCAAAUGAGAGACAUUGGACUGAAAUAGUGGAGGGGCAGCAGGUGGAGCAGUGCACUGCAUGUUGCUAAAUUGAAUGUCAAUAAACAAACUUGAAAUGUUUAAAGGCAUCAAGGGUUUUGA